rnacentral:rRNA from 1 species
AACGAACGCUGGCGGCAGGCCUAACACAUGCAAGUCGAGCGAGGACUUCGGUUCUAGCGGCGGACGGGUGAGUAACGCGUGGGAAUGUGCCCUUCUCUACGGAAUAGCCCUGGGAAACUGGGAGUAAUACCGUAUACGCCCUAUUGGGGAAAGAUUUAUCGGUGAAGGAUCAGCCCGCGUUGGAUUAGGUAGUUGGUGGGGUAAUGGCCUACCAAGCCGACGAUCCAUAGCUGGUUUGAGAGGAUGAUCAGCCACACUGGGACUGAGACACGGCCCAGACUCCUACGGGAGGCAGCAGUGGGGAAUCUUAGACAAUGGGGGCAACCCUGAUCUAGCCAUGCCGCGUGAGUGAUGAAGGCCUUAGGGUUGUAAAGCUCUUUCAGCUGGGAAGAUAAUGACGGUACCAGCAGAAGAAGCCCCGGUUAACUCCGUG